GACGAACGCUGGCGGCGUGCCUAAUACAUGCAAGUCGAACGCAGUGGGGACGGGUGAGUAACACGUGGGUAACCUCCCAUCAGAGGGGAUACCACUUGGCAACAGGUGCUAAACCGCUACUGAUGGAUGAACCCGCGGUGCAUUAGCUAGUUGGUGGGGUAACGGCUCACCAAGGCCACGAUGCAUAGCCGACAGGAGAGGGGGAUCGGCCAAACUGGUACCUAGACACGGCCCAGACGCCUACGGGAGUCAGCAGUAGGGAAUCUUCGGCAAUGGACGAAAGUCUGACCGAGCAACGCCGCGUGAGUGAAGAAGGUUUUCGGAUCGUAAAACUCUGUUGUUAGAGAAGCGGUAUCUAACCAGAAAGCCACGGCUAACUACGUGCCAGCAGCCGCGGUAAUUC
rnacentral:rRNA from 1 species